UUCUUUCUUUCUAACUUGUUUGUUUGCAUCACAGUGAUGGAUGAAGAUGAAGAGCUGGAGAGGAUGAUGCUGAGCAUCUCUCCUUCAAAGCAACAUGUGCAGAGCUCUGUUUCUGCAUCUUCGUCAUCCUCCUCAUCUGCCAGACGACGAGAAAGAGGUCUUUAACCCAGAGCACUGUGCCGCCCACCCACACAACUGGGACCAUGAGUUCCUCUCCCACAUGAAGCAUGACUCGUCUGGUGUCGACCGUGUUCUGGUCGUGUUUGUCUUUUGGUGUUCCACCUGUUGUCCUCGUGACGAUGAAUGGACUCCGGUCCUGAUGAGGGUACGUAUCCGUCUUUGUUUUCUGAUGUGCAUGAAAAGAAACUGCUGUGCUCCUAACACCUACUUGCAUGUGUUUGCUGUGUGUUUGAAGUCAAGGUGCUUCCCCUGCCUUGGUGACAUAGUGAUGACUGGCUCCUGAAUAUUAACCCAUUGCAACAUGAACACAUGUGUAUGAAUGAAAUAUACUCUGUACGUAAUCAUGUUACAAACAGUCUGAUUGGAUUUGGCUGAACAAAGCAGGUGAAGAAAAGAUACGUUCUGCCAUUACUAACAGCAGUUUUUGUGUACUGUCAAAGUAUAAAUAACAAACAAAGGUUUUUCCGUUGCAGUACCAUCUGCUACACAGGCAGCACCCGCCAAGGCUCAGGGUCCACCAGUAGAUGGUAAAUGUAUCAACAUUGUGCACAUUCACUGAAACAUGAUCUGUCCUGAGUCCACUGUGCAAGAAGUGAUUCUUGUUGUUUGAUCCUUCUCUCUUGCAGCUCCUGCAUCUCCAUCUGUGAAGAGACCUGACCCCGUUCCCCAGGAGCUCGUGUGUCUGAUGCCAGAAGCAGCACAUCAUCCUUUAACAGAGCCGACUGUCACACUUCCUGUGUCAGAGGCGCUCCUGACUUCUCCCGAGACGUCUGCAGAGCCCGGUCAACUGCCAACUCCACAGAGAGGGCAAAGUGAGCCAUUCCCCAGGCCAAUAGCCGUCCCCACCGGUCCUCCUCCACAGCUUCCUGGCUGCCACCAUGACGUCAGCCAGCUGACCUGUUCACAGCAGCAGAGAAUCUGAUGAAGACGAGCUGGAAGCUAUGGGUCGCUUCUGUGGGAUGGGACUGAAGCAGGGCCCAAACAGCCCUCACAUUCACACCGGGUUCCCAGGGGUAGCAGGGAAGUACGUUUAUUGUCCUGCCAAAGUACUUUCCCUGUACAGAGACCAGGGCAUGGAGAAGGAGAUGACGUGGAGAGAGUUCCAGGCGUCUGCCUUCUAUGAGAUGGGAAAAACAGAUGGGCCAUUGACAAGAGCAAAUAAGAGAGAUGAGCAGUGUUUUGUCAUGUAUAUAUCUUUUCUUAUUUUAAUAAUUACAUUCUUUUAUUAUAUAAAUUAUAUUUGUUUUACUAUUUUUAUUGUUUUUA